rnacentral:rRNA from 1 species
UACAGAGGUGGCAAGCGGUGUUCGGAAUUACUGGGCGUAAAGGGCGCGUAGGCGGUCCCAUAAGUCCUGUGUGAAAUCCCCCGGCUCAACUGGGGAAUUGCACGGGAAACUGUGAGGCUUGAGUUCGGGAGAGGGAAGCGGAAUUCCGGGUGUAGCGGUGAAAUGCGUAGAUAUCCGGAGGAACACCGGUGGCGAAGGCGGCUUCCUGGACCGACACUGACGCUGAGGCGCGAAAGCUAGGGGAGCAAACGGG